GACGAACGCUGGCGGCGUGCUUAACACAUGCAAGUCGAACGGAAAGGCCCUGCUUUUGUGGGGUGCUCGAGUGGCGAACGGGUGAGUAACACGUGAGUAACCUGCCCUUGACUUUGGAAUAACUUCAGGAAACUGGGGCUAAUACCGGAUAGGAGCUCCUGCUGCAUGGUGGGGGUUGGAAAGUUUCGGCGGUUGGGGAUGGACUCGCGGCUUAUCAGCUUGUUGGUGGGGUAGUGGCUUACCAAGGCUUUGACGGGUAGCCGGCCUGAGAGGGUGACCGGCCACAUUGGGACUGAGAUACGGCCCAGACUCCUACAGGAGGCAGCAGUGGGGAAUAUUGCACAAUGGGCGGAAGCCUGAUGCAGCAACGCCGCGUGCGGGAUGACGGCCUUCGGGUUGUAAACCGCUUUCGCCUGUGACGAAGCGUGAGUGACGGUAAUGGGUAAAGAAGCACCGGCUAACUACGUG
rnacentral:rRNA from 1 species